rnacentral:rRNA from 1 species
GACGAACGCUGGCGGCGGGCCUAAUACCUGCAAGUCGAACGCAGUGGGGACGGGUGAGUAACACGUGGGUAACCUCCCAUCAGAGGGGAUAACACUUGGAAACAGAUGCUAAACCUAUACUGAGGGCUGGACCCGCGGUGCAUUCGCGAGUUGGUGGGGUAAAGGCUCACAAAGGCCACGAUGCAUAGCGGACCUACGGGGGUGAUCGGCCCAACUGGGAUGUGGACACGGCCCAGACCCUUCCGUGAGGCAGCAGUGGUGAAUCUUCGGAAAUGGACUAAAGUCUGCGCAAGAACCGCCGCGGGAGUGAAGAAGGUUUUCGGAUCGUAAAACUCUGUUGUCAGAGAAGCGGUAUCUAACCAGAAAGCCACGGCUAACUACGUGCCAGCAGCCGCGGUAAUUC